UCAGCUAUUUAACUAAACCAUCAUUGAUUCAAAUUAAAGAUCCGAGCAGAUAACAAGCAUUUACAAUUAUCAACUGAAUCCAAUUACAGUUAAUUUCUUAUAAGGGCUAAAUCUGAUAUUACUAAAUGUAAUAAAUAAAGCAAUUAAAAAGACUGAGCCAGAAUAGGACACAACAAAAUCAAUUAGCAAUAGAACGGUACACCUCUUCCAUGACCAAACCAGGAUUCCACCUUGACUGAAAGAGAAAACUACACUUUCAAAAACAGCCAAAUAAAAGACAGAGUAGAGCGAUUACAUUUUCGAAAAACAUGAAAAGAUCCGAGAUUAAGGGAAGAAAAUGACAUGCUACAGCAGAAAGACAAUUCUGUUCUGACAUAGAGGCACGGUGGAGAAAGAAGCACAAGAGACAGCAACACUGUAAAUGCACUUCUAAGAGAAGGAGGCAAAUUAACGUGUUGCAAAAUGAAUGCAAAUAUAUGCAGAUUCCUUCUAUCAGCCUGUACUCUGUUUUUUUCCCAAACCUUUGGUCUUUUAAAACUGCAGGCGGACAAACAGCAAGCUGUUUAAAAUUCAUGAAACAUUUAUUUAAUUCACCGGGCAGGGACCUUUCCUGACAACCUUUUACUUCUCCCACUCAUGCUCUGCUAGUCUGACAUCCGUCAGGACCGCGGCCAUGAUGAUUCUGUAAAGCAAGUUUGCAGCUACUAACAGCAUGCAGACUCUCCAACACACUGAGAUAAAAUCCACUGUUGGCCUGCAGGUUAGAGGAGCAGGCUGGUGCCUAAAUGGUAACGGGUUUGAUCCCAGACUGGAGGGAUAAAUCUGGGCAAGGAUUACAACUAUUGUUCACUUAACCCCCAAACUACUGGUUUCAUUUUGCUGCUUCCAGAAGGGAAUGUGUGCAACUGUGUGAGAGUGGAGCUAAAAAAGAGCAUUGGUGUCCAGUGAACCAACCCGAGUUAAAUGUAAGCGCAAGAAAUUAAUUAAUACGAUUAUAGACAAAUCCGACGACUGCUUUUUGUGUUCCGUCGUCUAGCGCCGCCGCUAUUACUGCGGUAGCAAGUCGCAAUGACUGUACUGUUUGCUACCAUUAUUAACUGGUGACUUUAAGCCAAAAGCGUCCGUCAUUGCUCGUAGUAACUUACAUAAACGGUUGGCGUAGAUAAAAACACAGAUGAGUAUGUAUUUAAUAUUAAUUUAAGUAAAAUUUAAGGCAUUUUUGAGGACACGGCUGCCGUCACUACGAACAACGCGGUUAUCAGGCACUUUGUACGUAUUCCAUUUGUGAUGGCGACCGAAUGAUGUUUACUUUGUGGUCAUUAGGUUGCCCUAGUUAGAGAAACUAACGUUAUAUUUAACAAUAACGCCACAGUUGCCUGAUUGAGUCCAUUUAUUCAGUGGGACCCCUGCAGCCCCCAGACACCAUCUCAGCCAACUAA